rnacentral:lncRNA from 1 species
GGAAUUUGCAGUAGUACGUGGAGGAGGAAGGAGGACGGGGAACAGCCGUACAUCGGGCACCCCGAGCAUGUGGGAAAUGCCAGUUACUUAGGAGAAUGAAGCCGCUGAAACAGAUGCUGACGGUACCAAAACCUCACCGUAACAGUCGUACUGUUACAUUUGGUUACGAGGGUCCCAGAUGCAUGGGUUGAAUGCUAGUGAUAAUGAUUUUUAGUGGCCAAGAGUUCAAAUCCUGAACUUUAAGAUUCUGUCCAAUCCAGUAAAAAGUGAAGAGGAAAAGGAAUGCUUUGGAGGCUGAAGAUUAGAAAUUGACCAAAGCCAUUUUCAGAUCUGUAGGAGGAGAAACUGUAAUGAGGAAAUUAUUGAAGACCAUCAAAUGGAACCAGGUGUUUCUUCAACUUUGGAAGUCAAGAGUACAAAGGAUGGAAGUUCAUCCUUCUGAAACCAACAGACAGUUCAAAGCUAGCCCAAAAUUGUGUCAUAAAGCAAUUCAUCCUUUGCCGAGCAUUUUGCCUCCAAUUAAUCAAGUGAAUGGGAACUCUUUGCGGAACUGGUGUCAACAACUUAAUCUGAGUACCAGUGGCCAGAAAACAGAGGUUUAUAUGAGACUCCAGACAAGAAAAAGAUCAGUAUAUUCCUGAAACAUCAUGGGAGGCCAGAUUACAGUCAGCUUCAAGGAAACACAAGACGGUGACCAAGAGACCAAGAGUUCAGAAGAGUGCGAUGAGUGAGAGAGGGGAAAAGACCAACAUGAUUGAGGUGGUUGCUCUGGCUCAGGAGGCCAUGUUGGCGGCAUGGUCAAGAAUUGCUUCAAGGAGUUCCCGUCGUGGCGCAGUGGUUAACGAAUCCGACUAGGAACCAUGAGGUUGCAGGUUCGGUCCCUGCCCUUGCUCAGUGGGUUAACGAUCCGGCGUUGUCGGGAGCUGUGGUGUAGGUUGCAGACACGGCUCGGAUCCUGCGUUGCUGUGGCUCUGGCGUAGGCUGGCGGCUACAGCUUCGAUUCGACCCCUAGCCUGGGAACCUCCAUAUGCCGCGGGGGCGGCCCAAAGAAAUAGCAAAAAGACAAAAAAAAAAAAAAAAAAAAAAAAAAAAAAA